UGGCCACCCAAAUCAUCCCAAACCUGAGCGACGAGCGGAGCCGAGCCAAGGGUACCUCCGCCGCCUUCUACGUCCGCUGCGGCCGCCGCCGGCGAGGUGGCGGGCCUUCGACCACGGCACCAGCUCGACCCGCCUCACCGCGAAGCAGGCGCUGCGGUAGAAGAGGGGGAUGGGGCUGGGACCGCGGCGAGAAGCGUCCUAGCGGCGCACCGCCUCGUCCCCGACGGAGGGCUAGGGGCACCUCCAGUGACGCCGGGAGAAGCUCUAUUCCGACGCCCUAGGGAAGAAGGCCUUACCUCACCGAAGCCUACUAUUCGACCUCAGCCUGCUCUACGAGCGGAACGACAUGUCAUACCGUUAGUAGUCCGAACAUUUACCAAAAUACCUCUCGGGCGUGUUCCUUUGACCAGCAAGUUAUAGACUAAAUCGACUCUGACAACCUCAUGGUGCUUAAGAGCAACUGUAAGCAGUACUCUCAAGUGUAGCGCCGUAGGGGAGAGACGCUGACGAUGCAAACCGUCGGUAAUUUCGUAAACUAACCAACUUCACAUUAAUGACCCUAAGGGUCUGAUCACGUUAAGGACUACAAGCUGAUCUUGAUUUGAGUCAUAACGUACUGUAGCGAGUCAGCGACUUCCCUUUUCUAAGACUUUCACGUUUUAGUCCAAGGUUUUCCUUUGCAAGGGUCUUUGUAUAAAAUUUACGGUAGUUUAUACAUGCAGUUGAAAUGAUAUGUACAGGGUGACUCCGACAGAGACAAGAAAACCUCAAAACAGUCGAGCUACGGGGUCUUUAGAGACUUUUGUCGCUAUAUGUAGUUAGACUAUCAAACCUACACUUAGUGAGUAGACUACAAGUUUAAGUCUUAGUUUAUAGUUUACCUCUAUACUUUUGGUAAUAUUGUUUUGAUAGUCUUUUUCUUGGUUCUCACGAAGAACCGAAUGAUUUCAGCCAUUAACUUUACUAACUCCGGUCCUUGCUGGAACUUGUGUUUCCACCUAGUAUACAUACGGACGGUCGACUCAGUAGUUGUUACUUUUUGAACACGAGGGACCAAGAUACCUAACAGUGUUCGUAUUUUCUCAAUUUCCUAAGGCCGGCAUAACCUGAACAGGUGCUCUAUCCUCAUGAGAGAAGCCUGUCCUUACGCCAGGGAGCAAAGACAGAGCGUUUUGAAGACGUCUUCAAUAACUCAAACGGGCGAUAUCCACUUUCUACGUAACGUCUACGUCGUGAUAACGACUAACUCUACCAGCCGUUAUUAUUGUACUUCCUCUUUGACUCCUUCGAAGGAAACAACAGGGACGCUUCCAGUGGCUUUCUAUGGGAGGAACUUAGGUCUUAGAACAGGUUACCUGUUCUUAGCCAACUUUCGCGUUGUGUCUUCAACCUUCGCAAGUUCAACGUCAACUCUUUUGGUCUAUUACGCUCAAAUCGACUUUUACCUUGACUCCCUUGCGAAUUGUGUUCGUACGGUCUCUUUGCAUUAUCCACCAGAUAUCGCUUCAGGACCUGGGGGACAGGCGAUCCUUACUAUGGAACAAGUAUAUCAAGUUGACGACAAGAAGGGCAGGAACUACAGUAACUACUACUUGACUUCGUACUGUGUCGUCUUGUACCUUCAAAACUCGGACUACCAGUCUAACUUUAAAAGCUGAGAAUAAGAAUGGGACUCGUCGUCAACCUACCACUUCCGUAGGAUCUUUAUAGUUCUAGCGGUGGACUUGUACCCUAAAGACUAUACGGUCUUUACCGGAGACCAGAGUCCCCAUGUAAUGACCAACCACCGCACACCUUUUUCGACUGGCUUCUUCUCAACGAGAGGUAUUUCAGUUCGUACUUUUAAAACAACAUUAUAACCGAUCAAUAAGAGGGGAGUAAUCAUUUUAUAAAGAGAAGACAUUUGCUAGUUUGCAAUCGAAAAUGACCCCGUACUGUUUUGGGAGAAAUUAGUCAAAACGAGUCAAAGAAGUGAUAAAAUCUAUUGUCUCUGUUAAAAAAAGAAACUGGACUUAACUCUAAAACAAGACAAUAGUG
rnacentral:rRNA from 1 species